rnacentral:tRNA from 2 species
GGAGAGGUGGCAGAGUGGCCUAUUGCACCGGUCUUGAAAACCGGAGUGGGGGUAACCUCACCGCGAGUUCGAAUCUCGCCCUCUCCG